CUCAACUGAUUUGAACUGAUUUAUCUUAUAACUGGAAGUUUGAACCUUUCUACUAACUUCAUCCAAUUCCUUCUCCUCUCAGCCUCCUGCCUCUGGGUCACAAGAUGGCAGCUGGAAGUCUCACUGUUGCAUUCAUAUUGUGGGAAGAAAAAUGAAGGAAGGGGAAAUGAACAUCUCCCUGCUGAAUCAGAUCCCUUGAAAAGCUUUCCUGCCAGCCCCACCCAACUACUUCUGACUGGGG
rnacentral:lncRNA from 1 species